AUCAUGGCUCAGAACGUACGCUGGCGGCACGCCUAACACAUGCAAGUCGAACGAAGUAGCAAUACUUAGUGGCAGACGGGUGAGUAACAUGUAGGUAUCUGCCCUUUGGCCUGGAAUAACACGAGGAAACUUGUGCUAAUACCGGAUAAGUCUUUACGGAGAAAGCUUUAUGCACCAUUGGAUGAGCCUGCACUUGAUUAGUUUGUUGGUGGGGUAAUGGCCUACCAAGACUGUGAUCAAUAGCUGAUUUGAGAGGAUGAUCAGCCACAUUGGGACUGAGACACGGCCCAAACUCCUACGGGAGGCAGCAGUGGGGAAUCUUGCACAAUGGAGGAAACUCUGAUGCAGCGAUGCCGCGUGAGUGAAGAAGGCCCUUGGGUUGUAAAGCUCUUUCGUCGGGGAAGAAAAUGACUGUACCCGAAUAAGAAGGUCCGGCUAACUUCGUGCCAGCAGCCGCGGUAAUACGAAGGGACCUAGCGUAGUUCGGAAUUACUGGGCUUAAAGAGUUCGUAGGUGGUUGAAAAAGUUAGUGGUGAAAUCCCAGAGCUUAACUCUGGAACUGCCAUUAAAACUUUUCAGCUAGAGUAUGAUAGAGGAAAGCAGAAUUUCUAGUGUAGAGGUGAAAUUCGUAGAUAUUAGAAAGAAUACCAAUUGCGAAGGCAGCUUUCUGGAUCAUUACUGACACUGAGGAACGUAAGCAUGGGGUAGCGAAGAGGAUUAGAUACCCUCGAGUCCAUGCCGUAAACGAUGUGUGUUGGACGUUGGAAAUUUAUUUUCAGUGUCGCAGGGAAACCGAUAAACACACCGCCUGGGGAGUACGACCGCAAGGUUAAAACUCAAAUGAAUUGACGGGGACCCGCACAAGUAGUGGAGCAUGUGGUUUAAUUCGAAGAUACGCGCAGAACCUUACCAACACUUGACAUGUUCGUCGCGACUCUAAGAGAUUAGAGUCUUCGGUUCGGCCGGACGAAACACAGGUGCUGCAUGGCUGUCGUCAGCUCGUGUCGUGAGAUGUUGGGUUAAGUCCCGCAACGAGCGCAACCCUCACUUUUAGUUGCCAUCAUUAAGUUGGGCACUCUGAAAGAACUGCCAGUGAUAAGCUGGAGGAAGGUGGGGAUGACGUCAAGUCCUCAUGGCCCUUACGUGUUGGGCUACACACGUGCUACAAUGGUAUCUACAACAGGAAGCAAGACUGCGAAGUUAAGCAAAUCCCUAAAAGAUACCUCAGUUCGGAUUGCACUCUGCAACUCGAGUGCAUGAAGCUGGAAUUACUAGUAAUCGUGGAUCAGCGUGCCACGGUGAAUGCGUUCCCGGGUCUUGUACACACCGCCCGUCACACCAUGGGAGUUGGUUCUACCUUAAGGCAAGGUUUCAAACCCUUGACCACGGUAUAGUCAGCGACUGGGGUGAAGUCGUAACAAGGUAAAUCC
rnacentral:rRNA from 1 species